GAUGAACGCUGGCGGCGUGCCUAAUACAUGCAAGUCGAGCGAACAGACGAGGAGCUUGCUCCUUUGACGUUAGCGGCGGACGGGUGAGUAACACGUGGAUAACCUACCUAUAAGACUGGGAUAACUUCGGGAAACCGGAGCUAAUACCGGAUAACAUGUUGAACCGCAUGGUUCAACAGUGAAAGACGGUCUUGCUGUCACUUAUAGAUGGAUCCGCGCCGCAUUAGCUAGUUGGUAAGGUAACGGCUUACCAAGGCAACGAUGCGUAGCCGACCUGAGAGGGUGAUCGGCCACACUGGAACUGAGACACGGUCCAGACUCCUACGGGAGGCAGCAGUAGGGAAUCUUCCGCAAUGGGCGAAAGCCUGGCGGAGCAACGCCGCGUGAGUGAAGAAGGUCCUCGGAUCGUAAAACUCUGUUAUUAGGGAAGAACAAAUGUGUAAGUAACUAUGCACGUCUUGACGGUACCUAAUCAGAAAGCCACGGCUAACUACGUG
rnacentral:rRNA from 1 species